rnacentral:tRNA from 1 species
GAGGCCUUGGCUUAAAUUAAAGUGUCUGAGUUGCAAUCAGAAGAUGUAUUGUUGUACAGGCCUUC